GAUGAACGCUGGCGGCGUGCUUAACACAUGCAAGUCGAACGAGAAAUGGAGACGGAACCCUUCGGGCGGAAGGCUUCAUUUCGAGUGGCGGACGGGUGAGUAACGCGUGGGUAACCUGCCUCAUACAGGGGGAUAACAGUUGGAAACGACUGUUAAUACCGCAUAAGACCACAGCACCGCAUGGUGCGGGGGUAAAAACUCCGGUGGUAUGAGAUGGACCCGCGUUCGAUUAGCCAGUUGGCGGGGUAACGGCCCACCAAAGCGACGAUCGAUAGCCGAUCUGAGAGGAUGACCGGCAACAUUGGGACUGAGACACGGCCCAAACUCCUACGGGAGGCAGCAGUGGGGAAUAUUGCACAAUGGGGGAAACCCUGAUGCAGCGACGCCGCGUGAGUGAAGAAGUACUUCGGUAUGUAAAGCUCUAUCAGCAGGGAAGAAAAUGACGGUACCUGAGUAAGAAGCCCCGGCUAACUACGUG
rnacentral:rRNA from 1 species